CGCCCAGCAAUUCCUAUCCCUACCUCCUCGUGGUACCGGUCGGAAACUACGAGCAACCUUAGGGAAGAUCGGGUAACCAACCCCGGUGGGAACUUUGGUCGUAGGCUGACAGGGAAGG
rfam:Aedes albopictus isolate Foshan contig39638, whole genome shotgun sequence.